rnacentral:rRNA from 1 species
UACGUAGGGUGCAAGCGUUAAUCGGAAUUACUGGGCGUAAAGCGUGCGCAGGCGGUUGUGCAAGACCGAUGUGAAAUCCCCGGGCUUAACCUGGGAAUGGCAUUGGUGACUGCACGGCUAGAGUGUGUCAGAGGGGGGUAGAAUUCCACGUGUAGCAGUGAAAUGCGUAGAGAUGUGGAGGAAUACCGAUGGCGAAGGCAGCCCCCUGGGAUAACACUGACGCUCAUGCACGAAAGCGUGGGGAGCAAAAGAG